CAAUCCCAGAUAGUUGUUUAUAAAUUUUAGUUUUGUAAUCUAAAGAUUGGAUUGUUUCCAUUUGGGAA
rnacentral:tRNA from 1 species